UGCAGGAGCAGCCAAAGAUGUAACAGAAGAAUCCAUAACAGAAGAUGACAAGAGGAGAAACUAUGGAGGAGUAUAUGUUGGCCUACCAUCUGAAGCUGUCAAUAUGGUGUCCAGUCAAACAAAGACAGUCCGGAAAAAAGAAAAUAACAUCAUGACUCAAGAAUCAAGAGCAUGCUCAUCAAUUUGGAAGGAAUUUGGCUCCGUGGGACAUUGUAAUGUGCACAGACAUUUCCAAGGAAAUUCUAAACAGUCACCCUUCCCUCUUGCAUUCCCCCAAAUCUUAAGUGUAUACAUAAAACCCUGGGUACAUAUUGUUGUGGUAAUAGAAGGGAAUUAGUUAAACAGUACACUUUAUGGAACUUUCUGUGGCCCCCUAUGAAAGACAGGUUAACAAACUGUCAUGGAGGCUGCUGUUGCCUAGCCAGGGCUGCUGCAUUUUGACAUUUCCACCGUGGCCACUCAACACAUUUCAUGGAGGUCAUGUCUUUUCACUGAUACUUUUUGAUAGUUUUUAUAUAACAAAAUCCUUAUUCUAUUUAUAACUUAAGAUGAUAAGGCACUAUAAAUGAAUGACCUAAAAUAAUAUAUUUGUCUGUUAUCUUUCGCUAUUUCUACUUCACUUUAAUUUUUAGCUGUAAAAUUGGUAAAUGGAUUCUUACAACUAUCUCUUUCUGUUUUUUACUAUUUGGUUUUCAAAUUUCAUUUAAAUGUCAGAAUUUCCUUUUUAGGAACAAUGUGUAUUUCAUUGCAAUAUUUAAAAAUAAACUCAAAUUUGCAUGCCAUAUGCACAUUUUGAUUACAUUUUUAUUUUCUUUCAUGAAAGGCAUGUGCAACUACAAAUACUUCAUAGCCAUUGCGUUGCUCAUUCUAUGUCACGGUGUCUCUUCAUUAUUAGUUCUCUAGCUGUUUUGAAGGACUUGGUGAUGGAUGGUUAGUGGGAUAUCUGGAAAUUAAUUUGAUAAUGAUUUGUGUAUCUACGUAGUACUGCAAUGUAAAUUACUCAAUUUCCCAAUGUAUUUCAACAAUUAAAACAUUUUUAUCCCUCUUCA